AACGCUAGCUACAGGCUUAACACAUGCAAGUCGAGGGGCAGCGGGGAGUAGCAAUACUCUGCCGGCGACCGGCGCACGGGUGAGUAACGCGUAUGCAACUUACCUAUCAGAGGAGAAUAGCUCAUCGAAAGAUGAAUUAAUGCUCCAUAAAACAGGGGUCCCGCAUGGGAAUAUUUGUUAAAGAUUUAUCGCUGAUAGAUAGGCAUGCGUUCCAUUAGGCAGUUGGCGGGGUAACGGCCCACCAAACCGACGAUGGAUAGGGGUUCUGAGAGGAAGGUCCCCCACAUUGGUACUGAGACACGGACCAAACUCCUACGGGAGGCAGCAGUGAGGAAUAUUGGUCAAUGGCCGAGAGGCUGAACCAGCCAAGUCGCGUGAAGGAUGAAGGAUCUAUGGUUUGUAAACUUCUUUUAUACGGGAAUAAAGUGGGUCACGUGUGGCUUUUUGUAUGUACCGUAUGAAUAAGCAUCGGCUAACUCCGUGCCAGCAGCCGCGGUAAUACGGAGGAUGCGAGCGUUAUCCGGAUUUAUUGGGUUUAAAGGGUGCGUAGGUGGUCUUUUAAGUCAGCGGUGAAAGUUUGUGGCUCAACCAUAAAAUUGCCAUUGAAACUGGGAGACUUGAGUAUGUUUGAGGUAGGCGGAAUUCGUGGUGUAGCGGUGAAAUGCUUAGAUAUCACGAAGAACUCCGAUUG
rnacentral:rRNA from 1 species